rnacentral:rRNA from 1 species
UUGUCCUACGGGAGGCAGCAGUGAGGAAUAUUGGUCAAUGGGCGGGAGCCUGAACCAGCCAAGUCGCGUGAGGGAAGACGGUCCUAUGGAUUGUAAACCUCUUUAGGCGGGGAGCAAUGCCGGGCACGUGUGCCCGGAGGGAGAGUACCCGGAGAAAAAGCAUCGGCUAACUCCGUGCCAGCAGCCGCGGUAAUACGGAGGAUGCGAGCGUUAUCCGGAUUUAUUGGGUUUAAAGGGUGCGCAGGCGGCGAGUUAAGCCAGCG